UUUAGGAAACGAUUAUUAUUAUUAUUAUUAUUAUUAUUAUUAUUAUUAUUAUUAAUUGUGUUUGGUGGCAAAAGGAGAGGGAACUGGAAUUCGAAAUUGAUGGCUUAAUUGUUUAUUUAGUGGGUAGUAUUGAAUUCAUAAAGAAGAGAUCGAGGCAUAUAUGUUUAGUUAUAUGUAUUAAUUGUUGGCGGUUUAAUUGGUUUCUGUAUAGUCUCGUUCGCAGGAUUUUCGUACGCAAGAGUUCAA
rnacentral:lncRNA from 1 species